rnacentral:rRNA from 1 species
ACGAUGAUCCCAGCUUGCUGGGGGAUUAGUGGCGAACGGGUGAGUAACACGUGAGUAACCUGCCCUUGACUCUGGGAUAAGCCUGGGAAACUGGGUCUAAUACCGGAUAUGACUCCUCAUCGCAUGGUGGGGGGUGGAAAGCUUUUGUGGUUUUGGAUGGACUCGCGGCCUAUCAGCUUGUUGGUGGGGUAAUGGCCUACCAAGGCGACGACGGGUAGCCGGCCUGAGAGGGUGACCGGCCACACUGGGACUGAGACACGGCCCAGACUCCUACGGGAGGCAGCAGUGGGGAAUAUUGCACAAUGGGCGCAAGCCUGAUGCAGCGACGCCGCGUGAGGGAUGACGGCCUUCGGGUUGUAAACCUCUUUCAGUAGGGAAGAAGCGUAAGUGACGGUACCUGCAGAAGAAGCGCCGGCUAACUACGUGCCAGCAGCCGCGGUAAUACGUAGGGCGCAAGCGUUAUCCGGAAUUAUUGGGCGUAAAGAGCUCGUAGGCGGUUUGUCGCGUCUGCUGUGAAAGACCGGGGCUCAACUCCGGUUCUGCAGUGGGUACGGGCAGACUAGAGUGCAGUAGGGGAGACUGGAAUUCCUGGUGUAGCGGUGAAAUGCGCAGAUAUCAGGAGGAACACCGAUGGCGAAGGCAGGUCUCUGGGCUGUAACUGACGCUGAGGAGCGAAAGCAUGGGGAGCGAACAGGAUUAGAUACCCUGGUAGUCCAUGCCGUAAACGUUGGGCACUAGGUGUGGGGGACAUUCCACGUUUUCCGCGCCGUAGC